rnacentral:rRNA from 1 species
CCUACGGGUGGCAGCAGUGAGGAAUAUUGGUCAAUGGGCUUACGCCUGAUCCAGCGAAGUCGCGUGAGGGAAGACUGCCCUAGGGGUUGUAAACCUCUUUUGUCAGGGAGCAAUUGGCGCUACGUGUAGCGUUAUCGAGAGUACCUGAAGAAAACGCAUCGGCUGACUCGGUGCCGGCAGCCGCGGUAAUCCGGAGGAUGCGGGCGUUAUCCGGGUUUAUUGGGUUAAAAGGGUGCGUAGGCGGAAUGCCAAGUCAGAGGUAAAAUCGCGGGGCCCACCCUCGCUCCGCCGUUGAAACUGGCGUGCUGGAGUGGGCGAGAGGUAUGCGGAAUGCGUGGUGUAGCGGUGAAAUGCAUAGAUAUCACGAAGAACUCCGAUUGCGAAGGCAGCAUACCGGCGCCCAACUGACGCUGAAGCACGAAAGCGUGGGUAUCGAACAGGAUUAGAUACCCUAGUAGUC